ACUCAAAGGAAUUGACGGGGGCCCGCACAAGCGGCGGAGCAUGUGGCUUAAUUCGAGGCAACGCGAAGAACCUUACCUGGGCUGAACUACGCAGGAAAAGCCGUAGAGAUACGGUGUCCGAAAGGGCCUGUGAUAGGUGGUGCAUGGCUGUCGUCAGCUCGUGUCGUGAGAUGUUGGGUUAAGUCCCGCAACGAGCGCAACCCUUGUCCUGUGUUGCCAGCGGGUAACGCCGGGGACUCGCAGGAGACUGCCGGGGUCAACUCGGAGGAAGGUGGGGAUGAAGUCAAGUCAUCAUGCCCCUUACGUCCAGGGCUGCACACAUGCUACAAUGGCCGGUACAAAGGGCUGCUAAUCCGCGAGGAGGAGCGAAUCCCAAAAAACCGGUCUCAGUUCGGAUCGCAGUCUGCAACUCGACUGCGUGAAGUCGGAGUCGCUAGUAAUCCCGGAUCAGCAACGCCGGGGUGAAUACGUUCCCGGGCCUUGUACACACCGCCCGU
rnacentral:rRNA from 1 species